AGUGAACGCUGGCGGUAGGCCUAACACAUGCAAGUCGAACGGCAGCACAGUAAGAGCUUGCUCUUACGGGUGGCGAGUGGCGGACGGGUGAGGAAUACAUCGGAAUCUACUUUUUCGUGGGGGAUAACGUAGGGAAACUUACGCUAAUACCGCAUACGACCUACGGGUGAAAGCAGGGGAUCUUCGGACCUUGCGCGAUUGAAUGAGCCGAUGUCGGAUUAGCUAGUUGGCGGGGUAAAGGCCCACCAAGGCGACGAUCCGUAGCUGGUCUGAGAGGAUGAUCAGCCACACUGGAACUGAGACACGGUCCAGACUCCUACGGGAGGCAGCAGUGGGGAAUAUUGGACAAUGGGCGCAAGCCUGAUCCAGCAAUACCGCGUUGGUGAAGAAGGCCUUCGGGUUGUAAAGCCCUUUUGUUGGGAAAGAAAAGCAGCAGGUUAAUACCCCGCUGUUCUGACGGUACCCAAAGAAUAAGCACCGGCUAACUUCGUG
rnacentral:rRNA from 1 species